GACACGCUGGCGGCGUGGAUUAGGCAUGCAAGUCGAACGGUAUCAUCCUUCGGGGGUGAGAGAGUGGCGAACUGGUGAAGUAACACGUAGGUUAUCUACCCUCAAGGACGGGGAAACCCCAGGGAAACUUGGGCUAAUACCGGAUGUGAGCAACUUUUAGUGUUUGAAAGGUGGCGUAAGCUGUCGCUUGGGGAUGAGCCUGCGUCCUAUUAGUUAGUUGGUGAGGUAACGGCUCACCUAGGCAAUGAUAGGUAGGCGGCCUUAACGGGUGGUCGCCCACACUGGGAUUGAGAUACGGCCCAGACUCCUACGGGAGGCAGCAGUCGAGAAUAGUCUACAAUGGUCGGAAGACUGAUAGUGCGACGCCGCGUGAACGAUGAAUCCCUUCGGGGUGUAAAGUUCUUUUAUAUGUGAGCAGUGCUUCUUAUAUUAACAGUAUGGGGAGAGAGAUAUUAGCAUAUGAAUAAGCAACGGCUAACUCCGUG
rnacentral:rRNA from 1 species